rnacentral:rRNA from 1 species
UACAGAGGGUGCGAGCGUUGUUCGGAAUUAUUGGGCGUAAAGCGCUGGUAGGUGGCUUGGAAAGUCGCGUGUGAAAGCUUCCGGCUCAACCGGAAAAGUGCGCGCGAAACUGACGAGCUUGAGUGCCGGAGAGGGUCGCGGAAUUCCCGGUGUAGAGGUGAAAUUCGUAGAUAUCGGGAGGAACACCAGAGGCGAAGGCGGCGACCUGGAAGGUAACGUGACACUGAGCAGCGAAAGCGUGGGUAGCAAACAGG